GAAGGUGCCCCUGCCCAUGGCAGGGGGGGUAAUGAAUGACCUUUAGAAAGUCCCUUCCAACCCAAACCAUCCUGUCAUCCUGUGAUCCCACGGGAAG